rnacentral:rRNA from 1 species
AAAACUUUCAACAACGGAUCUCUUGGUUCUGGCAUCGAUGAAGAACGCAGCGAAAUGCGAUAAUUAAUGUGAAUUGCAGAAUUCAGUGAAUCAUCGAAUCUUUGAACGCAUCUUGCACCCUCCGGUAUCCCGGUGGGUAUGCCUGUUCGAGCGUCAUC